rnacentral:piRNA from 1 species
UGACCCACACAAUGAAAGUGAAGUGCAGU